rnacentral:rRNA from 1 species
AUGCACGGAGUGUGUUUCUAUGUGUUGCAACCGUCGUGGUCAUCAUCGUCGAUUUGUCAUGGUGAUCGUCGUCGUCGUCAUUGUUCGUUGCCGGGGACGUCCCCGGAAAGUACUCGGCGUCGACUAAGCCAACACUAUGCAUCCAUGGCUAAAUAUCAAGCUAGCUGCUUGCCCUCACACGCAACACUAAUCCACUCAGAUUGCACGAGCGAGUUCGGGAGUUAUGCCAGAACAUGA